rnacentral:rRNA from 1 species
GUGGGGAAUAUUGGACAAUGGGCGAAAGCCUGAUCCAGCAAUGCCGCGUGAGUGAUGAAGGCCUUAGGGUUGUAAAGCUCUUUUACCAGGGAUGAUAAUGACAGUACCUGGAGAAUAAGCUCCGGCUAACUCCGUGCCAGCAGCCGCGGUAAUACGGAGGGAGCUAGCGUUGUUCGGAAUUACUGGGCGUAAAGCGCGCGUAGGCGGCUACUCAAGUCAGAGGUGAAAGCCCGGGGCUCAACCCCGGAACUGCCUUUGAAACUAGGUAGCUAGAAUCUUGGAGAGGUCAGUGGAAUUCCGAGUGUAGAGGUGAAAUUCGUAGAUAUUCGGAAGAACACCAGUGGCGAAGGCGACUGACUGGACAAGUAUUGACGCUGAGGUGCGAAAGCGUGGGGAGCAAACAGGAUUAGAAACCCUAGUAGUCC